GAAAUACCUGAUUCCAUUCCGAACUCAGAAGUCAAGCCUUUACUCGCCAAUGGUACUGCACACAAGAGUGUGGGAGAGUAGGUUGCUGCCAGUU
rnacentral:rRNA from 1 species